UACGAGUGCCUCGAGCGUUAUCCGGAAUUAUUGGGCGUAAAGGGUGUGUAAGCGGCUUUGUUAGUCUGAUGUAAAACCCCCGGGCUCAACCCGGGGAACUGCAUCGGAAACGGCAUCGCUCGAGUGCGCGAGAGGUAUGCGGAACUCAUAGUGUAGGGGUGAAAUCCGUUGAUAUUAUGGGGGAACACCGAAAGCGAAGGCAGCAUACUGGCGCGUCACUGACGCCGAAACACGAAAGCGUGGGUAGCGAAUGGG
rnacentral:rRNA from 1 species